CAUCAGCCACGGCGCGGUGAAUACGUUCCCGGGCCUUGUACACACCGCCCGUCCAAGCCAUGGAAGCCGGGAGUGCCUGAAGUGCGUGACCGCAAGGAGCGCCCUAAGGCAAUACCGGUGACUGGGGCUAAGUCGUAACAAGGUAGC
rnacentral:rRNA from 1 species